rnacentral:rRNA from 1 species
GUAGGUAAUCUACCCUCAAGGGGAGAAUAACUCAUCGAAAGGUGUGCUAAAUCUCCGUAAAAUACUCUGGUGGCAUCAUCGGAAUAUCAAGCUUUCUUGGGGAUGAGCCUGCGUCUGAUUAGCUAGUUGGUGGUGUAACGGACCACCAAGGCUACGAUCAGUAGCUGGUCUGAGAGGAUGAUCAGCCACAUGGGACUGAGACACGGCCCAG